rnacentral:rRNA from 1 species
CAAUCCUACGGGGGGCAGCAGUGGGGAAUAUUGGGCAAUGGGCGCAAGCCUGACCCAGCAACGCCGCGUGAAGGAAGAAGGCUUUCGGGUUGUAAACUUCUUUUGUCAGGGACGAAGCAAGUGACGGUACCUGACGAAUAAGCCACGGCUAACUACGUGCCAGCAGCCGCGGUAAUACGUAGGUGGCAAGCGUUAUCCGGAUUUAUUGGGUGUAAAGGGCGUGUAGGCGGGAAUGCAAGUCAGAUGUGAAAACUAUGGGCUCGACCUGUGGCCUGCAUUUGAAACUGUUUUUCUUGAGUACUGGG